UGGAAACAAGCUGUUUUAGCAUUUCAUUUACACUGAAAAGGUUCUUGCAAUUUGCAAGGUUUCUAA
rnacentral:tRNA from 1 species